rnacentral:rRNA from 1 species
GGCUCAGAACGAACGCUGGCGGCGCGUCUUAAGCAUGCAAGUCGAACGGCAAGAGGUAGCAAUACCUCCUAGAGUGGCGGACUGGUGAGUAACACGUGGGUGACAUACCCUUCAGAUGGGGAUAGCUAUUAGAAAUAGUAGAUAAUACCGAAUACGAGCACAGGGGUUAGAGAUCUGUGAGGAAAGGAGCUAAGGCUCCGCUGAAGGAAUGGCCUGCGGCCCAUUAGCUAGUUGGUGAGGUAAGAGCCCACCAAGGCGAUGAUGGGUAUCCGGCCUUAGAGGGUGAACGGACACAUUGGGACUGAGAUACGGCCCAGACUCCUACGGGAGGCAGCAGCUAAGAAUAUUCCGCAAUGGACGAAAGUCUGACGGAGCGACGCCGCGUGGAUGAAGAAGGCCGGAAGGUUGUAAAAUCCUUUUGAAACUGAAGAAUAAGCGUUGUAGGGAAUGACAGCGUGGUGACAGUAGGUUUUGAAUAAGCAACGGCUAAUUACGUGCCAGCCGCUGC